rnacentral:rRNA from 1 species
AUUGAACGCUGGCGGCAGGCCUAACACAUGCAAGUCGAGCGGAUGAAGGGGGCUUGCUCCUGGAUUCAGCGACGGACGGGUGGGUAAUUCCUAGGAAUCUGCCUGGUCGUGGGGGCUAGCGUCAGGACACGGGCGCUGAUACCGCAUCCGUCCUUAUGGUGAAAGGCGGGGAUCUUCGGACCUAGCGCUAUCAGAUGAGCCUAGGUCGGAUUAGCUAGUUGGUUGGGUAAAGGCCUACCAAGGCGACGAUCCGUAACUGGUCUGAGAGGAUGAUCAGGCACACUGGAACUGAGACACGGUCCAGACUCCUACGGGAGGCAGCAGUGGGGAAUAUUGGACAAUGGGCGAAAGCCUGAUCCAGCCAUGCCGCGUGUGUGAAGAAGGUCUUCGGAUUGUAAAGCACUUUAAGUUGGGAGGAAGGGCAGUAAGUGAAUCCCUUGCCGUUUUGACGUUACCAACAGAAUAAGCACCGGCUAACUUCGUG